rnacentral:lncRNA from 1 species
GCAGAAAAGAAGGCCAAUCACUUAACGCAAUGGGCGGGUCAUUGACAGCCUCUCCCGCUCAGGAGGAGAGGCUUAAAGUAGAUAUGCAAGCCAUUGGAUACCACAAGAGAAGCGCCUCAAGGUAGGGAGCAGGCAUUGGCCAUCACAAGAGGCGGGGCUUCAGCGGGAACGUCGGCCAUUGGCUAUCGAAAGAAGAGCGAUACAACAUAAAACAGGGACGGGCGAUUGCCAGCUCGAGGAGGCGGGACUUAGAGGAAGGGGCAGGCUCCGGGGGAGCUCUUAGUAUAAACAGCCACAAAAUGCACAAAAUAGUUAUUUCUUCACUUAGUUAAAAACUUAACUGAGUACCUACUAUAUGCCAGGGCCCCAAAACGCCACACAGACCUAUUCAUUCAUUCAAGAAAAAUGUACUGAAUACCGUGGGGCCGAGUCACUUGAUUGUCCUGGGCUUCGCUCUCUGCACUUGGAAGAUGGGGCCCAUAAUGAUUGUGAGGACCCUGCUCUAGACUGAGCCCGGCAACAGGAAAUACAGGAAGUAUUAGAAGCUAUAACUCGGCCGGACGCGAUGGCUCACGGCUGUAACCCCGGCACUUUGAGAGGACGAAGCGGGCGGAUCACGAGGAUCCAUGGUAAGAACUAAAAUGAACCAGGGUGCUUGAGGAAAAAAAGCUGAAUAAUGGAGACGACUUCUUCUCUCCUGGGGGAUCACAGAGGGUUACUGGAUGAAGUGAGUU